rnacentral:rRNA from 1 species
CCUACGGGAGGCAGCAGUGAGGAAUAUUGGACAAUGGACGAGACCCUGAUCCAGCGAAGCCGCGUGAAUGAAGAAGUCUCUAUGGACUGAAAACUUCAUUAACAUGGAAAUAAAUUACAGUAUCUGUCUAGUAAGCUCCGUCUAAUUACGUUCCGGCAGCCGCGGUAAUACGUCGGGGGCAAGCGUUAUCCGGAUUUUCUGGGUGUAAAGGGAGCUUAGACGGCCGCACAAGUCUGUAGUGAAAUUCCGGGGCUUAACCCUGGAACUGCAUUGGAAACUGGGCGUCUGGAGUGCAGGAGGGGUAGGCGGAAUUCGUAGUGUAGCGGUGAAAUGCGUAGAUAUUACGAGGAACACCGAUUGCGAAGGCAGCUUACUGGACUGUAACUGACGUUGAGGCUCGAAAGCGUGGGUAGCAAACAGGAUUAGAUACCCCAGUAGUU